rnacentral:rRNA from 1 species
CUACGUGCCAGCAGCCGCGGUAAUACGGAAGGUCCGGGCGUUAUCCGGAUUUAUUGGGUUUAAAGGGAGCGUAGGCCGGAGAUUAAGUGUGUUGUGAAAUGUAGACGCUCAACGUCUGACUUGCAGCGCAUACUGGUUUCCUUGAGUACGCACAACGUUGGCGGAAUUCGUCGUGUAGCGGUGAAAUGCUUAGAUAUGACGAAGAACUCCGAUUGCGAAGGCAGCUGACGGGAGCGCAACUGACGCUGAAGCUCGAAGGUGCGGGUAUCGAACAGGAUUAGAUACCCUGGUAGUCCGCACAGUAAACGAUGGAUGCCCGCUGUUGGUACCUAGUAUCAGCGGCUAAGCGAAAGCAUUAAGCAUCCCACCUGGGGAGUACGCCGGCAACGGUGAAACUCAAAGGAAUUGACGGGGACCCGCACAAGCGGUGGAGCAUGUGGUUUAAUUCGACGCAACGCGAGGAACCUUACCAGAUCUUGACAUCC